CCCGAACGAGGCGACAAGGUCGGUCCUCCCCCGCCGGGCCUUCCCCGCGCUCCCCGGCGCCCCCAGCCCGCUGACCCCCGGCCAGGCAGGCCCGCGGGGGAGGCAGGACCGGAGCCCUGAGGCCCUGGCCGGCCUCGGGGUUGAGGCUCAGCUCGGGAUAAGUGAUCUUUGGGGCCCGCAGAGGACGUCUCCCCAAGACCCAGUGGCAACCGGCUGGAACCCAAGGCUUCGGAAGAUGAGUCAGCAGCCCCAGUGGCAAAUAGGACCCAGUGGAUCCAGCCCUGCCUUGUCAAGUUCUGAAUGUUCUGGGAGGCACCAGCGUUUCUAUCUCCUGUGCCACUUCACAGAUGGCACAACAAAGCCAAGACUCCCUAAGUCAUAUUAUCAAAGUUGCUCUCUCAAGACCUUUAGUUAUGCAAGCUUCAAGGUCCUGCCCCUAUUCCUGAACCCCUGCUGCAUUUGUCUGGAUCAGCCCUCCAAGCAGUAUUUCUUGCUGUGGCAUGCUGUUGUUUUCAAAAUGUAUUUGUCCUAGGAGUAGGGAGGGGUACAUAAGGUAAUGGAGGAGACACAGCAUCCAGCCCUUCUGCCCAUAUGCUUGCCUGUCCAUCUGUCCACCCGCCAUCUACCCGUGUAUCCACCCACCCACCACCCACACAUCCAUCCAUCCAUUCAUCCCUGCAAUCAGCAGGUCAGCCCCCAUUGUGGGAGGCACGUGGCAGGGGAUCUAGAGAUAGGAUUUCUUUUUCCUCCUCUGAGAGCUUGCCACCUAAUGGGCACACUAAUAACUACAGAAAAGGCAGAUGUCGUCAGUGCCCCAAGAGAGGCGUGUGCGGGCAUUAGUUGGCGAGCGAGCCCAUGCCAGCCCUUGGUCAGUCUCCAGCAGAGCCUCUUCCCUCAUUCCAGCUGAGGCAGGGCUGGAAUAGAGGUAUUGGAUUGUCUCAAGCCCUAGAUAAAAAUUUCUCCCCUAC
rnacentral:lncRNA from 1 species